CUGCCACCCCCUCAAUGCAAAAUUGGAUGGUGUUCAAAACUGAAGACUGUGUGAAGGCUGAAAGCUGUCCAGGACUGAGCUUCCGACAGAAGGGAUCAAUGAUGGAAUUACAGACCCUCCAAGAGUCCCUGAAAGCGGAUAUACAAGUUCAUCAGAAACUAGUGUCCCAGAUGAAACAGGAUCCACAGGUAAGCCCCUCCUGUCACAAAGGCAGUUGUACCAGAUUGCUAGGCCCAAAUACACAAUAUGUUUUGGGGUUGACGUCAGAGGUUUUCAAGCUUUUGAAAGAAUGUAGUAUCCCUAUUACUCAAAAUCUACACAGUCGAAAGAUAUGACUUAAAACAGCCUAAAAAAGACCAGUUAAGAUAUAAUGUUUUGAAUUUUACCCCCUUUUUCUCCACAAUUCCAUGGUAUCCAAUUUUUUAUUUUUUUAGUAGCUACUAUCUUGUCUCAUCGCUACAACUCCCGUACGGGCUCGGG
rnacentral:lncRNA from 1 species